CCUACGGGAGGCAGCAGUGAGGGAUAUUGGACAAUGGGCGCAAGCCUGAUCCAGCCAUGCCGCGUGCAGGAUGACGGUCCUAUGGAUUGUAAACUGCUUUUAUACGAGAAGAAACACUCCGACGUGUCGGAGCUUGACGGUAUCGUAAGAAUAAGGAUCGGCUAACUCCGUGCCAGCAGCCGCGGUAAU
rnacentral:rRNA from 1 species